UUUUUGUAAUGUAAAAGCUAAAUAAAUUCAUACAUACUAUAAUAAAGAUAACCGGGAUAUGAAAUUUACUUUACAGUGACUCGUGGGCCCACAAGGAACAAAAGUGCACAAAGGCAAUAAACCUACAGUUUUUGGAGUAAUAAGCCGACUAAAAUCCUUGACGAUAUCUGCUAUCCACAGGCUAUCUCGGGCCUGAAAUGGGUGGAAAGGAGGGUGGUGAGAUUAUAAAUCCCAGUGAGUAAACAGAUACCAUCUAAAGUUGAGUAAAUGGAAAUAGAUAAAACAGUUUAACAUACUGAAAUUCAUCACCUUUCAACUUGUUUCAACCAAAUAAAAUCAAUUCAUAUAAAUCGAGUAAUUAACAUGGCUUAUGAAUUUCUUAAAACUUUGGCAUGUGCCAAAAUCAUUCUCAUACCCAGUUAUUAAGGAUACCUUGGCAGCGGACUGUCCCAAACUGAGUCCGCCAAGGCUAUUAAAAAGUUAUGUACCCAUAAAUCAUGUUUUUAUUUGGAAAAUAUAGCCGUUCCUUGGUGUUGGCUGAGUUCGCCCUCACGUGGUGGUUUGGCGUGAAGUGAACUCUAAAAGUUAUACCUCGAGAGUUACCUUACUUGCCUCUCCAACCGAGGUAAGAAUAUGACCAGGUUCCAUGCCCCUCUAAUAGGCUAGUCAACAGAACCAGUCCACUGCAGCAAGCUAAACCCACCAUACAAUAAAAUUUGCAACAGCAUGACAUGGCAAUUUUAUCAUUAUCUAGCCUAUCAAGGCAAACAACAGUUUAUACAUUUCAACACAAAUACCAAUUCAGCCAUUCAUGCCAAUAUUGUCAUAAGCCAAUCAAUUAUAACCAUAAAUUCACAAUACAUCAAAUGGUCUCCAAUUACUCUAUUUUCAAAGCCAUUAUUCAAUUUUAAAACAAUUUUAUGAAAUCAUUUCAUUAAAUCACAUUUGGUUUAUAAAACUGAAAAAUUAAUCAUUUAAUUCAUUUUCCAUGAAAUUCACAAAAUCGAAUAAAAACUACUUUAGAUAAUUAAGACGAUAGUAAGGUUACUCAUAGUACUAGGAGUUCGAUAUACUCCUAUUCCCGAUCUUUGGGCACAAUCUCUUUACCCUUGUUAGAGGGCUCACCACCUAUACAUCAUACGUGACACGAAUUUCAAUAAAUUGUGUCAAUUUAUCAUAAACUAUUUUAGGCUUUAUAAAUCAAUAUGAAUGCAUGAAAUGUGAUGCAAAAUGUUUGAAGAGACGUUUAAAUACGGUAUUUGACCUAAUUCGCACUAUUCUCGGUGUAAUUGGCUAAAACCUCCAAUUUAACUCCAAAUCGAUUUCUUUCACUUUCUACACUCUUAUUAUACUUAAAAUAACUCAAUGACUGUGAAUAUGAUUCAAUUUAUUGGUCCGAACCAUAAAUCGCACAUGUCUAUACAUUAGGUAAAAAUUCAGAUUUUCAUGCCAAAAUUUCCAAUUAAAUUUCUAGCCUCACCAAUCAUUAAAUACCACCAAAAUAUCAUGAAAUAUAAUCAAUUUCAGCCUCAAUAUCCUCCCUAGAAAAUUUGGACUCUUGUGGGUUUGUGAAGAACAAAGUGAUUCCUUGCUACAUUUUCAUACUUUCCAUUACCAAACAACCAAAAACACUUAAUUAACUUGAAAUCUAGCAAAAUCAAUGCUCAAAACCUCUCCUCUCAAAUUCGGCCAGCAUGGGUUCAUCAUGAAAACUUGAGUUCUAAGCAUGGAAAAUGAAAAAGAAAGCAUGGGUAGUGUAAAUCACAAGAUAAGAUCACAAAAUUUUACCUUUAUUAGCUUAAUCCCUUGAAAUCCCACACUUUUUCUUCAAUUUUUCCACCUAGGGUUUGUGUUCUUUCCUUUCCUCUUCACUUCAUGCUUUGG
rnacentral:lncRNA from 1 species